rnacentral:tRNA from 1 species
GUAUAUAAAGCUAAUUACUUGAAGCGCUGGUCUUGUAAACCAGAGACAGAAAUCAUUUCUAUAUACU